GGUUCGAUUCUGGCUCAGAUUGAACGCUGGCGGGAUGCUUUACAUGCAAGUCAGACGGCAGCACGGACUUCGGUCUGGUGGCGAGGUGGCGAACGGGUGAGUAAUGUAUCGGAACGUGCCUGAAAAUGGCGGGGGAUAACUACGCGAAAGCGUAGCUAAUACCGCAUACGCCCUUCGGGGGAAAACGGGGGACCUUCCCGGGCCUCGCACUAUUAAACGGCCGAUAUCGGAUUUAGCUAGUUGGUGGAGUAACGGCUCACCAAGGCGACGAUCCGUAGCUGGUUUGAGAGGACGACCAGCCACACUGGGACUGAGACACGGCCAGACUCCUACGGGAGGCAGCAGUGGGGAAUUUUGGACGUGGAAACCCUGAUCCAGCCAUCCCGCGUGUGCGAUGAAGGCCUUCAGGUUGUAAAAGCACUUUUGGCAGGAAAGAAAACGGCACGGGAUAAUACCCCGUACAACUGGCGGUACCCGCAGAAUAAGCACCGGCUAACUACGUGCCAGCAACCGCGGUAAUACGUAAAGUGCAAGCGUUAAUCAGGUCACUGAACAAGCGUGCGCAGGCGGUUUGGAAGAAAGAUGUGAAAUCAGGAAGCAACUUUGGAACUGCAUUUUUAACUACCGAGCUAGAGUGUGUCAGAGGGAGGUGGAAUUCCGCGUGUAGCAGUGAAAUGCGUAGAUAUGCGGAGAACACCGAUAGCGAGAGCAGCCUCCUGGGAUAACACUGACGGCGCUCAUGCACAGCGUGGGGAGCAAACAGGAUUAGAUACCCUGGUAGUCCGCCUAAACGAUGUCAACUAGCUGUUGGGCCUUCGGGCCUUGGUGGCAGCUAACGCGUGAAGUUGACCGCCUGGGAAGUACGGUCGCAAGAUUAAAACUCGAAGGCGAUUGACGGGGACCCGCACAAGCGGUGGAUGAUGUGGAUUAAUUCGAUGCAACGCGAAAAACCUUACUACCCUUGACAUGUCUGGAAUCCCGAAGAGAUUUGGGAGUGCUCGCAGAGAACCGGAACACAGGUGCUCAUCGGCUGUCGGAAUCACGCUCGUGUGUGGUGUUGGUUAAGUCCCUUUUAACAGGCGCAACCCACUUGUCAUUGUAGUUGCUACGAGGGGCAUCGUGAGACUGCCGGUGACAGAGCCGGAGAAGGUGAGGAUGACGUCCAAGUCAUGGCCCAUAUGGGUAGGGCUUCGUCGCUACGAUGGUCGGGACGGAAGAUAUAUCACAACCGCGACGGUGAGCCAAUCCCGUCGAUCGUAGUCGGUCUUGCAUGAUCUUUCGCCAGCUCACGGGAAGCUGCGUGGUCAGUCAUGGUAAUCGCUGGCAGGUCAAUGUCCGCAAGUGCGAAUACCGUUAUCGGAUGCGUUUUACCCCGCGUCACCAUGCGGAUGGGUCUUCGCCUCACGCAGAUGGUGCAUCUUGAUGACAGUGAACUGGACUCAGCGUGAGAUUCUUGCUAUUUAAGUGAAGUCAUGGCUAAAGCUAACUCUUCAUUAACCUUUGAUAUAAGUAUUGCGUGACG
rnacentral:rRNA from 1 species